CCCCUAGUAACUGCGAGUGAAGCGGGAAAAGCUCAAAUUUGGAAUCUGGCAGUCUCUUUUUUUCUUCCUUGGCUGUCCGAGUUGUAAUCUAGAGAAGUGCUUACCCGUUCUGGACCAUGUAUAAGUCUCCUGGAAUGGAGCCUCAUAGAGGGUGAGAAUCCCGUCUUUGACAUGGACUGCCAGUGCGUUGUGGUGUGCUCUCAAAGAGUCGAGUUGUUUGGGAAUGCAGCUCUAAAUGGGUGGUAAACUCCAUCUAAAGCUAAAUAUUGGCGAGAGACCGAUAGUGAACAAGUACCGUGAGGGAAAGAUGAAAAGGACUUUGGAAAGAGAGUUAAACAGUAUGUGAAAUUGUUGAAAGGGAAACGCUCGAAGUCAGUUAUGUCGGCUAGGGAUCAGCCUUGCACUCUUUUGCCAGGUGAACUUCCUUGUCUGACAGGCCAACAUCAGUUUUGACUGCCAGAAAAGGGCAGAGGGAAUGUGGCACCUUU
rnacentral:rRNA from 1 species